rnacentral:lncRNA from 1 species
AAGUGACUGUAGGUUUAGAUGAAUGGAAAAUGAACUUGCCAGUUCACAGCUAUGUCCUUCCCAAUUUAGGAGGUUAAGGGCAGGAAAAACAUGAGAAACUCUUUUGAGAAGCUGCACAAGCUGACAUGGAGGAUCAAGGAUUUCAAAAGCUUUGAAUAUAAAGAGGUCUACCUUAAAUCAGUAAGGUCUGUGGCUGUCCAGAUGCACAUCAUAAUCGGCACAGAACUCUACCAUUUGGUCAAAACCAAAAACUAACUGGGACGCCUAAGACUGUAACAGACCCCUGGAGACUUCCCACUGGACUCCCCUGAGGCAGAUAUUUUGCAAAAGAAAACUUCCCGCCAUGAGAUCUUUUCCCACAUUCCCUCUUGGCAACUUAACCAGAAGAUAAGGUUAAGUUCAUUUCCACGGCCUUUAGAACCUCUGGACCUUAUACAUGAGAAAAGACAUCAUUCAUGGUUGGAGUCACUGGACCUGGUUAAUAUGUACCAAAAGGAAACAGAAAAAGCAGUUCUGGUGGCUACAUCUUGCAAGUACUAGACCAGAAUAUAAAGCUGGAUGAGAGAGACUUUGAUGAUAUGAAGUACUAGGGUUUAAAGGGAACACCGAACUCAGUGGAUUGCAAGAGCAUCUGACAUCAGCCCUACUGUGCUUUAGGCAUGGCUCUUGGAAAUAUGACAGACCACAGUACAUAGUGUGAAGUUUCUAGACCUGCCCUGAUACAGUGUUGUGGAACCAAUAUAAAGACUGAGUCACUGGACAAGCUAGAGUGACUGUGUACUUCAGGAUUAACAAAAACAUUAGUUUCACUAAGUUUAUAAAGAUUGAAAUUUUUACAGGCUUAACAGUGGCUGUUGUCUAUAGGCCAAGAAGGAUUAGCAAGUAAUGCUCUUAUGAAACAAAUGUUGAAGAUGAUAUACAAUUCUAGAAGAGCAAAGGAAAGGUGGUAGCAUGUAAUCAGUACAGAGAGAUAAGGACCAACAUAAUUUCCAUGCCAGUUAUCAGCAACUCAACAGCUGAGGAACUCUAUUAUGUAGGAAUCUAAGAUCAUGGAUGAGCUAUCAUCACAGUUUUUAGGGGAACUAUAGAAAGGCUUCCAAUAAGGAUUUUUGUACAUGUACAUAUAUAUUCAGAAAGCAGCUAAUGUGGAGAAGCAGAAGGUCGAUGUCAGCCACUCCAGUGGAAAUUUCAAUCACUCAUCUACUUUCCAAGCUUGAGCCAACUUUCAGACUGAGAGUCCAAUAAUUAAAGCAGAAGCUCUGUUUUUCUGAGAAAUGACCUGAUGGCAGAGCAAAUAUAUACUGUAAAGAUAAUUCUCUUCCUCUACUCAAAGUGUCUGUAGCCGCAGGUACAUAUGGAAAAGGGAGCACCCACAUUUUUUGAUAUAGUGUGUGAAUUGAAGGAAAGUCAACUUUUACCAUAGCCUCCCUUCAAGAGUGGGUACAUAUGAAAAUCAGGUAAUAAAUUUAGUUUAACCACGAAUUCAUUUCACAAUGGGUCCAAUGAGUCCAUAUAUGCACAAUAAAACUUUAUUUCCUGAAUUCAUAAUUUAGAUAUACAUACAUAGUAACUGGCAGAACACUCACUCUAGUUCCUUGAAAUGUGAAUGAAUAAUAAUUGUCAUAGGAAAGGUCAAGGAAAAGACUGAAAAAUGUCUUUAUACCACAGCCAAGAGACUUCAUAAAGCAAUAUUGCCUUCCAGAUACAAUAGAAGAGAUCAGUGCCAUUUUUAAAAACCUAAAAAGUUGCAGAGGCAGUUUCUACUGUAUUCUCAUUUCAGUCACUUGUGUGGCCACACAAAAAUCAAAUACAUGAUGGCAGAUUGCAGUGAACUCUAGGACACAUACCCAAAUGGUAGACAUACAAAGCUGUUCUGACAAGUGUGAUAUUACUGGAAUGGGUAGACUUGGGUAUGUGAUACGUGUUAAUUCUUAUUUUUAGUUGCAGAAUUAUAAUUAGACACUUUUUUAUAAAUUUAAGAUUUUGGUUAAAAAUAAUAUAUUUGCUUAAACAUAAAACACAGUAUGUAUUUUUUUAUUGCUACAGGUGACGAUGUUUCUCCAGUUUAUAGUGAUCAAAUUUUGUUAUCCAUUGAGUUCUAGGAAAGUCUUGAAUUUUAAUGUUUUUAGACAGAAAGUUUCAAAGGCAUCUUUAUUGUCAAUAAGCUCUUCAGCUUGGAUAAAAGGUAAAAACUAAUAAAGGAUUCCAUUUACAUUUAAAAAAAAAAAAAAAAAAA